AAAAUUAAAUACAAAGGAAAGGGAAUUAGGGUUCACCAAGUUGUGACCAUUAACCUUCACGUUCCUUUCUUUCUCACGAGAGCGGCGCAAGCGGCGGCGGCCGGAGAUCCUUCGUCUCCGAUUCUCUGAGCGACCGGCGUUCUCCCCCCUCGCUCAUCUUUUUCACGUUCAACCUUUCUCUGAUUCUCAUUUCGUCUCAUGUCUCUCCGAUACUCUCGGUUCUCGCAUCGAAUCACUCUGAAUCAAGCUCUCAUCGAAUGAAGAUUGAGGAUGUUGAUGAUGAAUUGUUGUGGUGUUGCAGAGCGUGCGACUCAGAGAAGAUCUUGAGAGAUCGAUGAAUUUUCGGUGACGAUUCAAAGAUGAUGGACCAGCCUGAAGAACAUUGUUGAGGUGCGAAGAUUGAUGCUGAUUAUGUGAUUGAAGCCGCAAUUGCAAAGAAUAGAUACUCAACGUGAAGGUGUUGAUUUGCAGCGUCGAAGCAGGGAGGUGAUCGACGAGGAUACUCCUUGAUUGAAGGACGUUGCAGUGUAGAGAAGUUGUUGAAGGUUGAACGAUGGCUCUGAGAUGAUGAAGAUUGAGUGUGGAUUGAGAGAGAAAAUUCAGAGCGUUUGUUACAUCUUUUCGUUGAUGAUGAUGAUGAGGUUGAAGAGUGGUGAUGAUUAAUGGAGGUGCAGAAUGGUGAAGGUUGCGUGUGAUGGUGAAGAAGAGAAUGGGAGAUUGAAGGGAGAGAUUGAAUAUGGUGGAUUGUGAGAGAAUGAAGGGUGGCUCUGCUGAGAAAAAAAAUGGUGGAUGAAUGGUGUGGAGGAGGCGUGUAGUUUGAAUUAUGGAGGGAAGGGAUGAUUAUAUAGAGUGUAGGCUCGGGUACUGACUAGGAUAGGAGAUAGGUUUGGGUGGUGAUUGAAGCAGUGGAGAUUGAAGUGUUGAGGUUCUCAGGUGAUGAAUGGAAGGUGAAGAAUAGUGGAGUGUGAAUAACUGAGAGUAAAAAUGGGUGAGUUCAAAGGAUGGUGCAGUGAAGAUGAAGUGAAGGAUCCUGAAUGAUGAAGAGAGUCUUGUCUAUAUAUAUAUAUAUAGGUUAGUGCUUGGGCAGGAUCGUGGUGAUGCCAAGAAUCAUGAGGUGCAUGGUAUCAGUUUGACAUGAUGCUGCUGUAGGUUAGAUGGUGAAGGCUGUUUGGUCAUGAAGGGAGAAAGGGAAUUGAAGAGGGUUUGGUUUUCUUUGAAUAGAAGAUGAUAGAUUAGAGUGUAAAGAGAAUGUGUAAAUGUUUAUAGUAGUGAUGUAAAUGAUGUUUCUUUUUUUUCAUGGAAGUAAAUGAUGUUUCUUUUUUUUUUUCUGUUCCAUGUUCCAAAAGUAUACAAACAGUAGGGUAUUGGUAUGGUUUGUAAAUAAUGGAUUUCAUUUGUAAAUUUGAACUUGAAUGAAUA